rnacentral:rRNA from 1 species
CCCUUAGAUGUUCUGGGCUGCACGCGCGCUACACUGAUGCAUUCAACGAGUGUUUAUCCUUGCCCGAUAGGGUUGGGUAAUCUUGUUAACGUGCAUCGUGAUGGGGAUAGACUCUUGCAAUUAUUAGUCUUGAACGAGGAAUUCCUAGUAAAUGCGAGUCAUCAGCUCGUAUUGAUUACGUCCCUGCCCUUUGUACACACCGCCCGUCGCUACUACCGAUUGAAUGGCUCAGUGAGGCCUUCGGACUGGCUUAGGGAGGUUGGCAACGACCACCCUGAGCCGGGAAGUUCGUCAAACUCGGUCAUUUAGAGGAAGUAAAAGUCGUAACA